GGCCCCGCCCUUCGCGUGCGGCCUUGGGGCGGGGGCGGGAGCCUGGCUGCGCGCUCGCACUUGACCUGCAUCCGGGUUUUCGUGUUCCGCGCAGCCUGCAAUAUGAAUAUGAUAGCUGGAGCUUCAGCAGCCAUUUUGGACCAGGAGGUAACCUUGAAGAUGGAAGCCACAUGCUGGGAUGGUGGAUCCAAAAGAUGUGGAUGCAGAUCCCUUGUGACACUGGAGCUGCCAUACCAGCCCUGAGUUGCCUGUAUCCAGACUGCCUUUACCUGGGAGAGAAAUAUUCUUCUAUACUGUUAGGUGUCUGUUGCAGCCGAACCUAAUCCGAAAUGAUACACCUUGUUGGGACCUGGGACCUGGGACCCUUUGCUGCGGUACUUGCACCUGGACGAAUAUCUCCUCGACCAGCAGAAUACAAGAAACUCUAAGGAACUAAAAAUAACUGCCCACAUGUGCAGUUGGGGCAAAAUAUGAACAAUGAGGAAGAAGGCAACGGACAAGGAUCCCCAUCACGUCCUUCUUACACGUGUUACUUCCCUGUAUCAGCCUAUCAGACAGCCACAUCCGCUGAAAAUGAUGACCUAGAUGGAAAGGGAAAGCUCAGGCCACGCAAAGCUCCUUCCCUUUUUAUUUCUUUACUCAUCAAUAAGCUAAAGGCAGGGAAUGUUGGUAGGAUAUGUGUAUACCCAUUAAGAAAUUAAAAACAGUUGAGUUAGUUUUGUGUAGGAUUUCCAUUGUUCAGGCCCCUGCACUUUCGUUUUGCACUGGGUCCUGGAUGUUAUGUAGCUGGCCCUGCAGAUACCCUAGUUUGGACUGAAAAGUCGUCUCCGCCUUCUCCUGAACUCGGGGUCCAGCUCAGCCCGGGCUCUGGGGCUGAGACACAGUGCCUGCUCUCCACCACACCCAGGGCCAUGUCCACAGCUUCCGUCUCCCCUUCUGGGUUCUCUUGUUUCCUGCUUAGUCCUGGCCCCAUGAAAUUUCAUCAUCAGUCCCUCAACUGUAUUAACCAUCACACUUUACAUUGUUUGCUUUGUUUUCUGACUCCUUUGUAUGGAGUUUCUCUUUUUUUCAUUGCUGUAUGUAUGUACUUAGCACAUGACAAGUGCUCAAAACACCAUUUUUUCACUUUUUAUUAUGAAAAUUUCAAGCAUACACAAAAACAGAGAUGACAAUUUAAUGAAUCCUUGUGGACUAUUGCCAGCUUUGACUACACUAUCCUGCCAUUCUUGUUUCACCUCAACAAUUUUAGUCUUUCUCUUUCGUGUUGUUGGAUUUCUUCAAAUGCCUUGUAAUUCUCGGUGGACAACUCCCACUUAUGAAUGAAGAGCUAUAUUGCUUCCUGCAGAGAGUUGGGUGGGUUUCCUUCGCAGUCGUGGGAGUUUGUUUAUUCAAAGGCUUAUGGUCCCCUCCGUGGGAGGGGUAAUUUUUGUCUCUGAGGAAGUGAACAGGGUCUCUCCAGCAGCUUCCCCUUCAGGUGUGUGAGUGUGGAGCCGGCAGGCUGCCUUGGGACGCAGGCAAAAAUAAGCAACACUGACCCUAGGGGUAGGGAGCUUCAGUGUCUAUCAUGCCUGCACACGGCUGUCUUUCCUUAUUUCUCCUCCUGGUUAUUCUAGAGGUCCAUUCAUUUCUUCAGCUCCAUCUUGACCCCGCCCCCCCGCCCCAGUAUCCUUACCGUGGGCCCUCUACAGCAAAUCACUUCCACUGUUUAGAGUAAUUCUUAGGGCUUCAACUGGGGCAUAGCUGCUCUGUGCCUGUCGGCACAGCAAUCCCUAGGACUGCUGCCCAGAGCACUCUUGUUCUUGAUACCUACUGACUUUAAGCCCAACGCCGCUCUGGGAUGGAGAGGAGGUGAAUGCGUGUGCUUAGGCUCCAAAUUGAAUGGGAAACUCUAACAAAUAUUUUUGGCAUAAUUAAAUUUCUUUUUCUCCCACUUUAGUUCAGAGAGUGUGGCUUCUUCAUCUGUGGUCUCCAGGGCUUAUCCAGAGGCUCAUGGGCCUGGGUCCCAGUUUUCCAGGGUCUUCCUCCAAGCUCUGAGGCAGAGCGUCAGCCUCCGUUUCAGCUCCUCUGAGUUUCAGCUCUGCGGGGCCCCUCCUCCAGUCAUUUAAGUUGUAAUCAUUCCAACCUCUUCCUUUAUUCCCCCCAGCCUUCGGGGUGGGGCUGCGUCUUAUCUGUAUGAUGCUUAGCGGUCUCUCUGUACCCUUUCAGUUGCCUAGUGAACAACUUCAUUCCUAGUUACCAAUUUUUCUUUUUUUUUUCGGUAUGCGGGCCUC